rnacentral:lncRNA from 1 species
UCUUCUUGCAUUCCAUCGUCUCUUCCAACCUUCUUCUUCCUUAAUGCUUAUCUUUUCUCACUCAAAGGUUGAUAUUCUUCAUCAUCAUCAUCACCUUCAAUAUCUUCAUUGUCUUCAUUGUUAAUUCUAGCAAUUGAAGGCAUGCUAUGAUUUACCUUCUUUGGCACUUAAUCUUGACUUCUAUUUCAUCCAUUUUCAUUGUCAUCAUCAUCUUCUUCUUCUUCUUUCUUUGUUGAACUUGAAGAUGUGUCUACAAACACACCU